rnacentral:rRNA from 1 species
AUUGAACGCUGGCGGCAGGCCUAACACAUGCAAGUCGAACGAGUGGCGGACGGGUGAGUAAUGUUUGGGAAACUGCCUGAUGGAGGGGGAUAACUACUGGAAACGGUAGCUAAUACCGCAUAACAUCAGCUGUGCCCAGAUGGGAUUAGCUAGGUGGUGGGGUAAAGGCUCACCCAGGCGACGAUCCCUAGCUGGUCUGAGAGGAUGACCAGCCAAACUGGGACUGAGACACGGUCCAGACUCCUACGGGAGGCAGCAGGGGGGAAUAUUGCACAAUGGGCGCAAGCCUGAUGCAGCCAUGCCGCGUGUAUGAAGAAGGCCUUCGGGUUGUAAAGUACUUUCAGCAGGGAGGCGUUACCCGCAGAAGAAGCACCGGCUAACUCCGUGCCAGCAGCCGCGGUAAUUC